rnacentral:misc_RNA from 1 species
GUAUGCUCUGUCCAUCGUUGUUCAGUUCGCCUUCCAAUAGCAUCCCCUUCGUUUUCUCCCCAAUCUCAUCUCAAUCAAAUUCAAAAUCCAUUCGAUUAAAACCCUUAAAAGAUCUGCUUAAUUCGACCUCAAUUCAUUCAAUUUCAUUUUCUAAUUCAAAUUCGUCAUGCUUCUCAUCUGAUACUCAGUGAUUCUGCUGGAUUAUUUUUGAACAUGAAGAGAGAGCUAUCUUUUGUGGUUGGAGUUCAGUCCCAGCUUGCUGGCUCACUUGGUCUUAGCCAUGGUCUCCCAAUUGAUACACAGUCGCAGCAGGAAGUAUCUGAGGACGGUGACUGUAAGAGACUCAAAGUUGCUAAGAUAAAUGGUUUCAUUGUUUAUUCUCGAGUGAAGAAGAGUAGAGCUAGUGAAUGUGAUAAAAUCAGUGAGGAUGUACUAAAUAAAAGGAUUAAUACCCAUGAGGAGCCACAAUUUGAUGUAACCAAUAGAAUAAAUACUUCGCUUGAUGAGGAUUGGAAGUGCCCAGUAGUUGAAACUGUAAUUGAAGAGAAUCAAGCGGUGGUUGGAACUGUAUGCAGAGACCAAUCAAUUUGCAAUGUGGAAUUGCCCGUUUGUGAAGAUGAAACAGUGAGUGAGCCUUGGCCAAUUCUAGUCAAGGAAGGAGGCACUAAGGGUGCGCAAAAAUUGGUUGCUGAGGGUAAUGAGGUGAAGAGCAAUAAGCUGAGACGGUUGACGCGGUCAAGUUUGAAGUUUAAGGUAGAGCCUGUGGAGGUAAAAGUUAAUGGAUUAGAAGAUAUUGACAGCAAAAUGAUUUCAAAGGUAGAUGUGGAGAUUGUAGCUGAAGGAAGUGCGUUGACCCCUCCAAAGAAGAAUUUAGAAUUGAAAAUGUCAAAAAAGAUUGCAUUGGAUAAUGUGCCGAUGACAGUCAAGGAGCUUUUCGAGACUGGUUUGCUUGAGGGGGUUCCAGUUGUUUACAUGGGCGGCAAGAAGUUUCAGGCAUUUUGUCUCCGGGGUACAAUCAAAGAUGUUGGAAUUCUGUGUUCGUGCUCUUUCUGCAAGGGACGUAGAGUUAUUCCGCCUUCCCAAUUUGAGAUUCACGCCAUCAAUCAAUACAGACGCGCAGCACAGUACAUUUGUUUUGAGAAUGGGAAGAGUCUGCUUGAUGUUCUGAAUGCAUGCCGCCUAUCUCCUUUGGAUUCUCUAGAAGCAACAAUCCAAAAUGCCAUUAGUGGUUUGCCAAAAGAGAAAACUUUCACUUGUAAGAGAUGCAAAGGUACAUACCCUACAAUUUGUGUUGGCAAGAUAGGGCCUUUAUGUGAUUCAUGUGUAGAGUCAAAGGAAUCUAAUGGUAGCCCAGCCUGUGAAACUGGUAUAAAGGCUAGCUUAGCCGAGCCAGUUUUAUCUGUGGAGUCCUCUGGAAGUGCUUCUGUGUCUACCCUCUCUCAAGAUAAUACUCUAAGGAAGAUAACUAGAAAGUCAUCAAAACGAGAUUUAAACACAAAGUUGUUAAGGAGUGUGCCAGUGCGAAUGUCUUCAAGGAAAAAGAGUGACUUGAAAAUAACAACAAAGUUGGUAUCUUAUUUAUCUUGUUGUCUAGCUUGGUAUAACAUAUUCCUGGCUUAAGUCUCAGCUUUUCAUUUUGUGCUAGUAAUUAAUGUUUCUUCUUCUUUGUUCUAAAAUCUAAAACCUUGUGGAAGACAUAAAUAUAUGUUAAAUGGUGUUUCCGUGUGCACUUGGUUGGUGGGAUAUUGUAAUGCAGAGAUUUUGUAAAUUAAACUUUGUUUAUUCAGGUUGUCAGAACUAGAGAUCAUGACAAAAUCCUCAAAAAAUGCUUCUCUGCAUCUUUCCUCACGGAAAAGGAAGGAAUGGAAGAUAACACUGAGGUUUUUUUUUUUAAUUUUUUUAUCCCCGUAUUGUGAUGUAGAUUUGAUGUCUGCUUAUCAUGUUCAGUUUUAGGUUCUCUCUCUCUUUCUGUCAAGUAGAUAAUAUCCUUGGUUCUCAAAUAGGAUGAGAGGCGAAAGGAUAAUUAUUAUGAGAUGAUAUGACUUCCCAUUUUCCUUUUUCAUGGUGCACUUCCUCUUUUUUUCAGGACGCCAAAACCAGCUGUAGUAUCAAAGUACUUGAAAAGUGCAUCAGUGGGUGUCUCUUCACAAAAUAAGAGCCAGUGGAGAAUAACAACAAAAGAUCAGAGGUUGCACAAAUUGGUUUUUGAGGAAGGUGGAUUGCCUGAUGGGACUGAAGUAGCAUACUAUGCUCGUGGGCAGAAAUUGCUUGUGGGUUACAAAAGGGGCUUUGGAAUACUUUGUUGUUGCUGCAACUGUGAGGUACUUCUCAUUUGAACUUCACAGUUCCUUAAAAUUUCAUCAGACACACUGGCAAUAUUUAUAACUUAUGUGCAGGUCAGCCCCUCAACGUUUGAAGCUCAUGCAGGGUGGGCUACUCGCAAAAAGCCGUAAGCUUAUGAUGGGAUACCUGAUAGGUUUUGACGUUAAGCCUUCCCCCUUAAUAGCUAUAUAAAGUCAUCAUUGUGUUUUCUUUACAGGUAUGCUUAUAUUUACACUUCUAAUGGUGUGUCACUUCAUGAACUGGCAAUAUCACUAUCAAAAGGUCGCAAGUAUUCUGCUAAGGACAAUGAUGACCUGUGCAUCGUCUGUGCAGAUGGUGGGAGUCUUGUUCUGUGUGAUGGAUGCCCAAGGGCCUUCCAUAAAGGAUGUGCAUCUCUAUCAAGUAUUCCCCGCGGUAAAUGGUUUUGCCAAUUUUGCGAGAAUAUGUUCCAAAGGGAAAAGUUUGUAGAACAUAAUGUCAAUGCUGUUGCAGCUGGAAGAGUUUCUGGAGUUGAUCCUAUAGAACAGAUAACCAAGAGAUGCAUUCGUAUUGUCAAAAACAUAGAAGCAGAACUUAGUGGAUGUGUGCUAUGCAGAGGUUAUGAUUUUAGCAGAUCUGGAUUUGGUCCACGCACAAUUAUACUUUGUGAUCAGUGUGAGAAGGAAUUUCACGUGGGCUGUCUGAGGAGUCAUAAAAUGGCAAACCUAAAGGAAUUGCCAAAAGGGAAGUGGUUUUGUUGCCUGGAUUGUGGCAGGAUCCAUUCUACUUUGCAGAAGUUGCUAGUCCGGGAAUCUGAAAAACUCCCAAUCUCUCUUUUGAAUGUUAUAAAGAAGAAGAAUGAGGAGAAAGGUUUGGAAACCAUUAAUGAUAUUGAUGUGAGAUGGAGGCUUCUUAGUGGAAAAAUUGUUUCUCCUGAAACUAAAGUGUUACUUUCACAAGCUCUUACUAUCUUCCAAGUAAGUACUGACCAUGUAGAUAAAAUGUAUGCCAUCGGUUGCCUAUAGCUUGAUGCUACCGACAGCAAUUAAUGCAGAAAUUAUUUGUUGUGUUUAGAUAUGUGCAGACAUUGUUUUGUGAUUCUUUACCUAAUUGUUUGAUGCAUCUUUUUUUUUUUUUUUAAUCUUUUUCUUUUAUUUGGUCUGUAUGUAGAGAAUGCUCGCUCUGAUGUAAAGUUGAAUGGUUACUUCACAUUGUGACUGUCAUAUGCAGUACUAAUUACAAUACCAUUUUCUAUUUCCCUGGCUUUGCUCAAUCGACAUUUUGUAACAUAUGCAGGGAGGGAAUGAAUAUAAUACUCGAUUUCUCAUAUCUGCUAAUGCGGCAAUAAAUCACGAUGCCUUUUUUUUAUUAUUUUUUAUUUCCCUGUCUUUGUUCAAUGUGAAUGAAAGAGCCAUGAUGAGCAUUAUUUCACUGAAAUUAAUAUAAUUAUGUUUCAGGAAUGUUUUGAUCCCAUAGUCGAUACAACUGGACGUGACCUCAUUCCUUUGAUGGUUUAUGGGAAGAAUUCUACGGGCCAAGAUUACGGGGGAAUGUACUGUGCAGUACUAGUUGUCAACUCAUUUGUUGUAUCAGCUGGAAUACUUAGAAUUUUUGGGCAAGAAGUUGCUGAACUUCCCUUAGUUGCAACAAGUAAUGGCAACCAUGGGAAGGGCUAUUUCCAAUUAUUGUUCUCCUGCAUCGAGAAGUUGCUGGCUUUUUUAAACGUUCAGAGCCUUGUGCUCCCAGCUGCUGAAGAAGCAGAAUCUAUAUGGACUGAUAAAUUCGGUUUUCAAAAGAUAAAACCUGACCAGAUUAGCAAUUACAGAAAAAGUUGUUGUCAGAUGGUGACCUUCAAAGGGACUUCUAUGCUGCAGAGAAUGGUUCCUGCUUGUAGAAUUGUUAAUCAAAAUGCUGGGUCUGUAGGAGUAUUGUAAAGAAGUGGUAUGAGCUAUUUUUUGGCUAAGAGAGAAAAAGAAGCAUAGUGUUUACAUUUCAAUUUUUAUUUUAUUUUUUCUGUUUUAUUUUUAUUUUUUUUUUUGAAAAUGUGUGUACAGAAUUAGGUAUUUAAGGGAGGUAUAUAUAUAUCUGGAGGAAGCAAAUGCUACUCAUUUGUGCUGACCACUUUAUCAAACAUGUCAGAUCUAUGAUGCAAUAUUCAUCUGCCGGAUCAUCAUUUUACCGGACUGUCAACCCAGAUUUUCCUGAGAAAGUGCGUUGAUUGCGAAAGCUCUUACUAUACCAAAUUGAACAUUAUAGUUCCUAUAUUUUAGAAGUAACUUUAGGUGGAGGUUAUAAUUUUGUUCAACUGCUGUGAUAAUCCUUUGUUUUGUGUUCGAAAUCUCUGGGGUUAAACAAGUAUUCGACCAAUGGAAUAUAGGUGUAAUCAAGAAGCCCUUGCAGCGGAACUUCUGUAUUCCUCAUGAGGGAUGGGGUUAGGGUUGCUCAUUCUGACUUAUCCCACUAAGGGUAUGCCGCAAUUUUUCUGCAGACAAUUGUCUUCUGAUAAAAGCUCGUUUGAUUCUUUGAUUUAUCUUCUAUAUGGAAACAAUAUCAUUUUGUAGGCGGUUCCACCGCCCAAUUCCACUAUCUAAAAUUGGCAUGGUAGCAUAAGCUCCACAUCUUUCACCAUGAGCAUAAUGAACCUCACACCCCACUAAGCACUUACGCACAAGUCCUGGCUGGCUGUGGAUGGGAUCCGGCGAUUCAUGGAUGAGAAAGGAAGUGAUUUGGAACUGGACCGGCCUUAGGUGGUAUCAGCAGGUUUCGAUUGAAGACGGUGUAGGUUGGUAUGGUUCAAUGGUGAUUAUGGUUCUAGUUUUUGGGGAGUUCGAUUCAGGUGGUAAUUUCUUGCUUUGGUCGUGUUAUUCUUGAACUGACCCAUGGCUAUUAUACUUCUCUUUGCCUUAAUCAUCAUUGUCUUUCCCUUUAAGAACCAACAUUCUCAAUCUUU